AAACGUUUGGUUGAAGUUAUUGCUGCCAAAGGAGGUUCAACCAGUUAUUAAAUCCAAGGGUUCACAUACUUGUUCCACCUGCACUGUGAAUGUUUACAUGGUGUGUUCAAUAAAAAUGUGACAACAUUGAAUUCUUUGUGUGUUAUUAGUUUAAGCAGACUGUGAUUGUCUAAUGUUGUUACUUAGAUGAUGAUCAGAUCACAUAUUAUGACCAAUUUGUGCAGAAAUCC